CACUGCAAAAAUAUCUUGCUCAGUUAUCAAAAAACAAUUUCUAAUUAAGUAAAAUAUUGUUGUUUAUUUAUUUGUAUAGGUGAAAGCUCUUACUGCUCUUGGUGGGCAGAAUUUGGCAGACACGGUGAGGACAAUGCUGAGGAAAAUUGCCACAAACAAAGUCCUGGAGCAGCUUGGCCUCCGUGGAAAGUCAGGAAAAGUGGCGUUUGAGGACUUGAACCCUUUACAGAAUAAUAAAUAAGGCAUGCAGGGGUGUUUACAAGCAGAUGACCACAGCUGAAGUGGAUUGUGAGCUUGGAGAGGUCCUGAAACUGGCCACUUUUCGAAAGGGAGGUUCAAAAUUUGAGGAGAAGAGGAGGAAUUAAGAGGGAGGACAAAAAAGGAAAAAGAAACAAGCAAAAGAACAGAGUGAGAUGAGAGGAUUUGGGUUUCCCUGCUUGGGCUGCUGCCCCCGCGACCCGACCUCGGAUAAGCGGAAGAAGAUGGAUGGAUGGAUGGAUGGAUGGAUGGAUUUACUUCCAGGAAGAGAACCAAGAAGGGGCAGGAUACACUGACGCGCACGACCAAGACCACUGCAUUCCAUUCCAUUUAUAAAUGAUAAAUGAUAAAU